rnacentral:rRNA from 1 species
AGUCAAGCGAACGAAGGUAUGUGGGGGAUGCCUGGGCACAUAGAGGCGAUGAAGGCCGCGGUAAGCUGCGAUAAGCUUGGGGGAGCGGCACACACGCAUUGAUCCCAAGAUGGCCGAAUGGGGAAACCCGGCCGGACGCGAGUCCGGUCACCGCGCAAGCGGAGCAAACCAGGGGAACUGAAACAUCUAAGUACCCUGAGGAAGAGAAAUCAAACGAGAUGCCCCGAGUAGUGGCGAGCGAAACGGGUACAGGCCAAACCGGUCUCCUUGUGGGACCGGGGUUGUAGGACCUACGGACGCACACAGCGACGUCAGUCGAAGUCCUCUGGAACGGGGCGCCAUAGACGGUGAUAGCCCGGUAGGCGAAGAUCAUGCACUGUGUGUAGUAGAGUUCCUGAGUAACGCCCGACCCGAGUAAUCGGGCGUGAAGCCGGGGGGACCACCCUCCAAGCCUAAAGACUCCUAUGUGACCGAUAGUGGACGAGUACCGUGAGGGACAGGUGAAAAGCACCCCUGUGCGGGGAGUGAAAGAGAUCCUGAAACCACAUACCUACAAGCGGUAGGAGGCUGGGCAUCGCAAGGUGUCACGGCUGACUGCGUGCCUUUUGCAUUAUGAUCCGGCGAGUUACUCCUCAGAUGCGAGGCUAAGCUGCUCAGCAGCGGAGCCAGAGCGAAAGCGAGUCCUGUAACGAGGGCGCAUGAGUAUCUGGGGGUACGACCCGAAACCAGGGCGAUCUACCCAUGAGCAGGGUGAAGCUGAGGUAACACUUAGUGGAGGCCCGAACCGGUAUGGGUUGAAAACCAUUCGGAUGACUUGUGGGUAGGGGUGAAAGGCCAAUCAAGCCUGGAGAUAGCUGGUUCUCCCCGAAAUCUAUUGAGGUAGAGCCUCGAGGCGUGUCAGCAGGGGGUAGAGCGACUGGAAGGGCGCGGGGGGUCGUAGACCCUACCAACCCCUACCAAACUCCGAAUACCUGUCUGAUGGACCUCGGGAGGCAGUCGCUGAGCGAUAAUGUCCAGCGGCGAGAGGGAAAGAACCCAGAACCACAGCUAAGGCCCCGAAGUGGCUGCUGAGUAUAGCGAAGGAUGUCGUCGUGCAGAGACAACUGGGAGGUUGGCUUAGAAGCAGCCAUUCCUUGAAAGAGUGCGUAAUAGCUCACCAGUCCAGCGUGAUGGCGCCGAGAAUGGUCGGGAUUAAGCAGCCCGCCGAAGCUUGGUCUUCAGACUUUGUCUGAGGGGUAGGGGAGCGUUCCCUGUGCGUUGAAGUGGGGGUGGAAACCAACCCAUGGAGCGAAGGGAAGUGAGGAUGCCGGAUUAAGUACGCGCAAAUGCGGGUGAGAACCCCGCACACCGUAAACCCAAGGAUUCCUGCGCCAUGGCAAUCAGCGCAGGGUGAGGCGGACCCUAAGGCGAGGCCCCAAAGGCGUAGUCGAUGGAUAGCCGGUCAAAAUUCCGGCCCCGUCUUGUAGUCGUUGAAGCAUCCAGGGACCCUGGAACGAAGCGCGAGCGGCUUUGUGGAUGGCCGUUCAAGGGCGUAGGCGCAAGCCGAGACCUGAGUACGAGGCUGCAGGGCAACCUAAGGCCAAGUCGUGUGGAGUCGGCAGGCAAGAAAAGCUGGGUGGGGAGACUAUGAGAUGUCCGUACCGUAAACCGACACAGGUGGGUUAGGCGAGUAGCCUCAGGUGAACGAGUGAAACGUGGUCAAGGAACUCGGCAUAAUGAUCCCGUAACUUCGGAAGAAGGGAUGCCCCCUUUGGUUGCCAGACUUGCUCUGGUUGCUCGAGGAGGCCGCAGAGAAUCGGCUCAAGCGACUGUUUAGCAAAAACACAGGUGCGUGCCAAGCCGCGUAAGGCGCCGUAUACGCACUGACGCCUGCCCGGUGCCGGAAGGUUAAGGGGAGAGGUUAGCCGCAAGGCGAAGCUUUGAGCCGAAGCCCCGGUAAACGGCGGCCGUAACUAUAACGGUCCUAAGGUAGCGAAAUUCCUUGUCGGGUAAGUUCCGACCUGCACGAAUGGCGUAACGACUUGAGCACUGUCUCGACCACGCGCUCGGCGAAAUAGCAGUCUCGGUGAGGAUUCCGAGUCCCCGCGACAGGACAAAAAGACCCCAUGCACCUUUACUGCAGCUUGUCAUUGGCGAUUGUAUAGGACUGUGUAGCAUAGGUGGGAGCCGGUGAGUCGGGGGCGCUAGCCCUCGAGGAGGCACCAGUGAAAUACCACCCUGUGCUGUAUGAUCGCCUCACCGCGGUAGGCAAACCCUAUCCGGGACCGUGGCAGGUGGGCAGUUUGACUGGGGCGGUCGCCUCCGAAAGAGUAACGGAGGCGCGCGAAGGUUGGCUCAGCGCGGUCGGUAAUCGCGCCUAUAGAGUGUAACGGCAGAAGCCAGCCUGACGGUGAGACCGACGGGUCGAACCGAGACGAAAGUCGGCCGUAGUGAUCCGGUAGCCCGGUGUGGAUCGGCUAUCGCGCAACGGAUAAAAGGUACGCUGGGGAUAACAGGCUUAUCGCGCCCGAGAGUUCACAUCGACGGCGCGCGGUUUGGCACCUCGAUGUCGGCUUGUCACAUCCUGGGGCUGGAGAAGGUCCCAAGGGUCCGGCUGUUCGCCGGUUAAAGUGGCACAUGAGCUGGGUUCAGAACGUCGUGAGACAGUUCGGUCUGUAUCCGUCGUGGGCGUUGGAGAAUUGAGGGGAGCGGACUUUAGUACGAGAGGACCGAGUCGGACGAUCCGCUCGUGUCCCGGCUGUGGCGCCAGCUGCAACGCCGGGUAGCGAUGAUCGGUGGCGAUAACCGCUGAAAGCAUCUAAGUGGGAAGCGCCCCCCAAGAUGAAUUCUCCCUGGAGCCUUGAGCUCCCUAAAGGGCCGGAGGAGACUACUCCGUCGAUAGGCAGCACGUGGAAGCGCCGCGAGGCGUUCCGAGCGCAGCUGUCCUAAUCGCCCGUGCGGCUUGACUCCCCCC